UACGAAGGGGGCUAGCGUUGCUCGGAAUCACUGGGCGUAAAGCGCACGUAGGCGGCUUUUUAAGUCAGGGUGAAAUCCUGGAGCUCAACUCCAGAACUGCCUUUGAUACUGAGGAUCUUGAGUUCGGGAGAGGUGAGUGGAACUGCGAGUGUAGAGGUGAAAUUCGUAGAUAUUCGCAAGAACACCAGUGGCGAAGGCGGCUCACUGGCCCGAUACUGACGCUGAGGCACGAAAGCGUGGGGAGCAAACAGG
rnacentral:rRNA from 1 species